GCCUCCUAAGAUCUCGGAAAUUGGAAGCGCUCUGUAUAGUCGCCGGCCUGGAGUCAGCACCCCAGGCUGGGCGUGGCUCCACUCCAGCUCCCCCAGACUCAAAAGCCUAGGAGAGGUGGGAGAGGACAGAAGACAGGCCCACCUCCGCGAUCCAGGUGCGGGGCACGGGAGCAUGCACUCACCUCCGCCGGGUCCCUGAGCACCGCCGCCGCCAUCGGGACCGGUCUCGCGGCGGAGCUGCCAGAAACGGCUUUAGGGCAGCCAGGAGCACAUAAGGAAUGUCACAUGUGUCCCACCGGAGCUGCGGAGGAGGUUUGCAGAGUCUCAGCUUGCCUUAUGCUCCCUCAUCAAUAUCCUGCAGGUUAAAGGCUCAGUCUCACAAGACUGUCCCCACUUCAGAUGCCAAUUCCAAGUCCAGAUUGUUACCUGUGCCACUGACUGACUGUAAAUCAGAGGUUCCCACAACCUCCUUCUUGGAUUUGAUCUUUUCUUAUAAUGGCUCACAAAGCUCAGGGAAACAUUUACUGACACUUACCCGUGAGUACUUAAAGUUCACAGGUAUAAUUGUGGACAGAGGACAUGCCAAGAAAUGUGUGGGGAUAAAGGAUCAGAUCUACAGUGCUGUUGGAUACAGAUUCAGAGCUCAAGUCUGAAUCCUUAAACUUCCCACCAUCAACAAGACACCAGUUGUGAAUGUUCUCUUAGGAAGGCUCCGAUGAGCUCAUAUCAUGCCAGGAGCAGGUGCCUGUCAGCCAGCGCUGGACAGAAGAGGCUGGGGAUGUUUGCACUGAAGCCAAACUCAGUAUAUUGUUGGCUGUUUCUGUCAAUUUGCUUACAAUCGGCAAUCCACCAGGUUCUGAGCCUUUUCUGGUCCAGCAGCAGUGAAAAGUGUAUCCAGUUCAUCUUUGUGAAGAACUAAACUCUAGUACCGUCACCUCUCACAUAGAAAAUUUCAGACAGAUGCUGACGUUUCUUUUUUUUAUUGUUUGCUUAUUUAUUUUUAAUGAUUUUUAAUAUUUA